GCGGGGCACAGGGGAAGGAGCGCAGACCGUUUAUAUAUAAACUUCUUGCCACACAUACUGCCCACCCAGAGGAACAGGGAACGCAGGAGUUCAGUGCAGCCUGGUCGGCUGAACCUUUCAAAUGCCGAGUUUUCUAGAAUGUUCUGGAAUUUCGCUCCUUGCCCUUGAGACUCAAUCUGUACUCAUGCCUGGGACCAGUGAUGUGCAGCAAGCCGGACGGCUACUUUCAGCAAGGCACAGGCUGUGACCCCCUGGGAGCAGUGGGCCAUGGGGUAUGAAGGGCUCAGCACGACGCCCAACAUGGAACCAGUGGCCGUUGGACAGAACGUGAGCAGAGUGCACAUUUUCUCUCCGUGGUUUUGUUUUUGUGAAGUCAGAUAUUGGAUUCAAAUCAUCCUUGCCUUUCAACCAUCCACAGAAUUACUAGCCCCAAAGUUUUACUCAAAGAUCUCCUGCCGGACCUCUCGGUGCGUGAGUGGCCUAAUUGGGAAGGGGCACGUGACCCCCCUUUCAUCAGCUGCGGAUGACAGAAAAGCUCCAGCUUCAGCAGUGGCUGAACAACAAGGGCUUUAUAUGCCUUACACAAGACAUCUGGCAGUCGGAUCCAGGGCAGGUACAUAGGCUCCACGUGGGCAGUAGAAAGCCAGUGGGCUCUGCUU
rnacentral:lncRNA from 1 species